GUGGGGAAUAUUGCACAAUGGGCGCAAGCCUGAUGCAGCGACGCCGCGUGCGGGAUGACGGCCUUCGGGUUGUAAACCGCUUUUGACUGGGAGCAAGCCCUUCGGGGUGAGUGUACCUUUCGAAUAAGCACCGGCUAACUACGUGCCAGCAGCCGCGGUAAUACGUAGGGUGCAAGCGUUAUCCGGAAUUAUUGGGCGUAAAGGGCUCGUAGGCGGUUCGUCGCGUCCGGUGUGAAAGUCCAUCGCUUAACGGUGGAUCCGCGCCGGGUACGGGCGGGCUUGAGUGCGGUAGGGGAGACUGGAAUUCCCGGUGUAACGGUGGAAUGUGUAGAUAUCGGGAAGAACACCAAUGGCGAAGGCAGGUCUCUGGGCCGUCACUGACGCUGAGGAGCGAAAGCGUGGGGAGCGAACAGGAUUAGAUACCCUAGUAGUCC
rnacentral:rRNA from 1 species